rnacentral:rRNA from 1 species
UGAGCAAUCUGCCCUUCUCUUCGGAAUAAGCGUUGGAAACGACGUCUAAUGCCGAAUACGACCUCCUUUCGCAUGAUCGGAGGUGGAAAGCUCCGGCGGAGAAGGAUGAGCUCGCGGCCUAUCAGCUAGUUGGUGUGGGUAAUGGCCCACCAAGGCGACGACGGGUAGCCGGCCUGAGAGGGUGACCGGCCACACUGGGACUGAGACACGGCCCAGACCUCCGUACGGGGAGG